rnacentral:misc_RNA from 1 species
GAGAAGAACGCAGCGAAAUGCGAUAAGUAGUGUGAAUUGCAGAAUUCAGUGAAUCAUCGAAUCUUUGAACGCACAUUGCGCCCCUUGGUAUUCCAUGGGGCAUGCCUGUUCGAGCGUCAUUUGUACCUUCAAGCUCUGCUUGGUGUUGGGUGUUUGUCUCGCCUCUGCGUGUAGACUCGCCUUAAAACAAUUGGCAGCCGGCGUAUUGAUUUCGGAGCGCAGUACAUCUCGCGCUUUGCACUCAUAACGACGACGUCCAAAAGUACAUUUUUACACUCUUGACCUCGGAUCAGGUAGGGAUACCCGCUGAACUUAAGCAUAUCAAUAAGCGGAGGA